CAAAGCCAUGGUGGUGAUUUGGCCGGCCGGCUUGCAGCCACGUAAAACAACUCGCUAAAGGGCCGAUCCGAAGACGAG
rnacentral:ncRNA from 2 species